rnacentral:rRNA from 1 species
AUCGAUUGAGAACGCAGCGAAAUGCGAUAAGUAAUGUGAAUUGCAGAAUUCAGUGAAUCAUCGAAUCUUUGAACGCAACUUGCGCUCUCUGGUAUUCCGGAGAGCAUGCCUGUUUGAGUGUCAUGAAAUCUCAACCAUUAGGGUUUCUUAAUGGCUUGGAUUUGGAGGUUGCCAUUCUAAAUGGCUCCUCUUAAAGGAGUUAGCAAGUUUUACUAUUGCUAUCUGGCGUAAUAAGUUUCGCUGGAAUGGUAUUGUGAAGCGUGCUUCUAAUCGUCUUCGGACAAUUACUUUGACUCUGGCCUCAAAUCAGGUAGGACUACCCGCUGAACUUAAGCAUAUCAAUAGGCGGAGGAA